rnacentral:tRNA from 1 species
AGAAUGAUGCCUGACCAAAGGGUAGUUUUGAUAGAACUACUAACGUAAAAAUUUUACUCAUUCUA